UACAGAGGGUGCGAGCGUUAAUCGGAAUUACUGGGCGUAAAGGGCACGUAGGCGGUUAAUUAAGUCAGUUGUGAAAUCCCCGGGCUUAACCUGGGAACUGCAAUUGAGACUGGAUAACUAGAGUCGAAGAGAGGGAAGCGGAAUUUCCGGUGUAGCGGUGAAAUGCGUAGAUAUCGGAAGGAACAUCUGUGGCGAAGGCGGCUUCCUGGCUUCAGACUGACGCUGAGGUGCGAAAGCGUGGGUAGCGAACAGG
rnacentral:misc_RNA from 1 species